AACGAACGCUGGCGGCAUGCCUAACACAUGCAAGUCGAACGAGACCUUCGGGUCUAGUGGCGCACGGGUGCGUAACGCGUGGGAACCUGCCCUUAGGUUCGGAAUACCUCCCCGACAGGGGUGCUAAUACCGGAUAAUGUCUUCGAACCAAAGAUUUAUCGCCUUUGGAUGGGCCCGCGUUGGAUUAGCUAGUUGGUAGGGUAAAAGCCUACCAAGGCGACGAUCCAUAGCUGGUCUGAGAGGAUGAUCAGCCACACUGGGACUGAGACACGGCCCAGACUCCUACGGGAGGGAGCAGUGGUGAAUAGUGGACAAUGGGCGAAAGCCUGAUCCAGCAAUGCCGCGUGAGUGAUGAAGGCCUUAGGGUUGUAAAGCUCUUUUACCCGGGAUGAUAAUGACAGUACCGGGAGAAUAAGCUCCGGCUAACUCCGUG
rnacentral:rRNA from 1 species